UAGAAGAGGUGGAGAAGGAGACCCACAAAAGCACUUGGCUCAACAAUAUCACAUGGUGUCUAUAAUCUUGUAUGAUUAUUUAGAAAAAAUUAAAAAACAUUUUAAAUAUCUGAAGCUGGGAAUGGUAGCACAUGCGUUUAAUCCCAGAACUCAGAAGGCAGAUGCCAGUAGUUCUCUGUGAGUUCAAGGACAACCUGGUAUACAUAGUAAGUUCUAGACCAGUAAGAGCUACACAGUGAAACUGUGUCAAAAAAAAAAAAAAAAAAAAAAAAAAAAAAAAAAAAAAAAAAAAGGAAAGGAAAGGAAAAGGACACUACAGGGAAAGGCUCCAGGACCCUCCAUGUGGCUGGGCUUUCGUCCACACUGUGUCCUGUACCCUUUAUUUAGAAUCUUCUCUCCUGGCAGCACAUUUCUCCUCUUUCUCUUUCCAACACCCUCACAUGUGCUAAAUCAGCUGCAUAUGUUGCCAUAGCUACUCUACACAGCAAUGCCUUAACCCUUCCAUGCCAGAUUUGCUUUCUGUUACUUUAAAACUAGACAUUUUCUUCCUUUUUCACCUGUCCUCUCUCCAUCAGGCUGGCCUCAAACUCCCAAUCCUUCUACCUCCUGAGGACUGGGAUUACAGGCAUACCUUCCUAUACCUGACACGUCAUGCAUACACAAGUGAGACAGGAGUGAUGGCGUUGUAAUAUGGACCAGCUGUCCCUGCUUACCCCAGGUCCUUAAGGAAACUGUUAGAUGUGUUUUUAAGUCUGCUGUUAGUAUCUUAAAACAAUCCAUAUAUACUUCUACUUUUGAAUUGCCCUCUUUACACAGUUACAUAGUGGCUUUUUUGGAUGUCUAGAGUGAAGUUUUUAAUCUGUGUCUCUCCUCAGAUCCAUAAUGCUACAAGCAAGUCCUUAGGAUAUUUUCUUAACUAGUUACUGAUGGGGGAGGGCCCAGACCAUUGGGUUGGUAGUCCUGGAGUCUAUAAAUCCAAUGUGAGCAAGCCAGUAAGUAGCCCUCUUCCAUGGUCUCUGCAUCAGCUCCUGCCUCCAGGUUCCUGCUCUGCUUGGGUUCCUGCCCUGACUUCCUUCAGUGAUGGCUACAAAAUGGAAGUGUAACCCUUUCCUCCCCAGCUUGCUUUUGGUCAUGGUGUUUUAUCACAAUAGCAACCCCAAGUAGGACAGCAUAUUAAAACUGCUUUGUAAUUUUAUAACACUCUAGUCAUAGACAUCUAAAGUGUUAUUUAUUUAUUUAUUUAUUUAUUUAUUUUAUUAAUGGCAAUAAACCUGGCUAGAAUGUAGGGAAGGAGGAGCCUGCAUUCACUGCUGGUUGGGAGUGCAAACUAGAGUAGCCAUUAGUAAAACCUCAAAAACUGAAAAAUAGAAGUACCAUAAGACCCAGCUAUACCCACCUGAGGUGUAAACUUGGGGGACUCUGUAUCCUAGCACAGGACACUUGCUCAUCAAUGGUCAAUUCCAUUCUAUUUGAAGUAGCUAGGAAAUGGAAGCAGCCUAGCUGUCCAGCCGUUGAUAAAUGGAUGCUGAAAAUGUGGUACAUAGACCCAGCUCUAAGGAAAAUGGCAUCAUGAAACUUUCAAGAAAAUGAAUGGCUCUGACAGUGUUCUAUUAACGGAGAUGUCACAGACUCAGAGAAGAAUCACAUGCUUUCUCUCAUAUGCAGAUCCUACCUUUAACAUUUGUGUGCAUGUGAGAGUGUGCAGACUAUGAUGCUGGACAGGAGAAUGGGAGAGGGAAGCUUGAGGUGUUGAAGACGAAUGGAUGGGCAAGGAGCAAAAGGUCACAUGUGACAUGAAAAUGAAAAGGAGGCUACCAGGGUGACAGGGCAGACG
rnacentral:lncRNA from 1 species